UGAAAUGGUCAAAAUAUUAUGUGGACGUCUGUCUCCUAUUUUCCAGAACCAGUGACAUCUGUUCGGGACUCAGUGCUAAACUUUGUCAACGUGGUCGGCCAUGCAUGUGUUUUUCAAAUGGAAGAUCUUCGGGAUGCCACGGGGGCGGAUGUACAUGUCUGUGCCCUACGAAAACAAGGCGCCGGAGCCGGAGCGUAAUCGGCCAAUGCAGCUUGAAUCGACUACCCUGAUGCCUAGCUGAUUCUUAGAAGAGUGAACUUGUCAGCUAGUUGGUUUAACCUAUCGCAGGAGACAGCACGUUAGACGAGGACUCCCGUCUGUUUCAUUAUCUGACAAGAAAAUUGUGUACCUUUCUCCUUACAAGUGAGGGGAACCGCUUUCUUCCGCCCUCACAGCUUUUUGUAUUAGUGUCCAUAUGAUAUGUUUCGUUAUUUUUUUAUUUUUCUUGUUGUUAUCGACGAGGCGCUGAUACGUAUUUAUCAUUUAUGUAUGUUUCUCGCCACAAUAAAGUUUAGCUGCAAGUCAACGCUA